rnacentral:rRNA from 1 species
CCCAGACUCCUACGGGAGGCAGCAGUGGGGAAUCUUCCGCAAUGGGCGAAAGCCUGACGGAGCAACGCCGCGUGAUCGAAUGAAGGCCUUCGGGUUGUAAAGAUCUGUUGACAGGGACGAAUAAGCAUGCGAAUAGUUUUGUGUAUGACGGUACCUGUUUAGAAAGCUCCGGCUAACUACGUGCCAGCAGCCGCGGUAAUACGUAGGGAGCAAGCGUUGUCCGGAAUUACUGGGCGUAAAGGGCGCGUAGGUGGGCGCUUAAGUCAGGUGUGAAAAUUAUGGGCUCAACCCAUAACCUGCAUUUGAAACUGUAGUUCUUGAGUGAUGGAGAGGCAGGCGGAAUUCCGUGUGUAGCGGUGAAAUGCGUAGAUAUACGGAGGAACACCAGUGGCGAAGGCGGCCUGCUGGACAUUAACUGACGCUGAGGCGCGAAAGCGUGGGGAGCAAACAGGAUUAGAUACCCCAGUA